GGCCGGGGCGAGGACCGGGUUCUGGUCCUCGCCGGGGACCGGGUCCGACGCCGGGCCGGACGCCGAUCCCGGGUCCUGAUCCUGGUCCUGGCCG
rnacentral:tRNA from 1 species